ensembl:misc_RNA Metazoa_SRP Metazoan signal recognition particle RNA
GCCAGGCGCAGUGGCACAUGCCUGUAGUCCCAGCUACUCGGGAGGCUGAGGCUCUAGGAUCGCUUGAGCUCAGUAGUUCUGGGCUGUAGUGCGCUGUGCCGAUUGGGUGUCCACACUAAGUUCAGCGUCAAUAUGGUGACCUCCCGGGAGCUGGGGACCACCAGGUUGUCUAAGGAGGUGAACCGGACCAGGUCAGAAACGGAACAGGUCAAAACUCCCAUGCUGAUCAGUAGUGGGAUCGCGCCUGUGAAUAGCCACUGCACUCCAGCCUGGGCAACAUAGCAAGACUCCAUCUCUU